rnacentral:pre_miRNA from 1 species
GUUGUACUCCCUCUGUCCUAUAUUAAGUGUCAGUCAAAUGGAUGUAUCUAGCACUGAAAUACGUUUAGAUUCAUCUAUCUCAGCGACACUUAAUAUGGGACGGAGGGAGUACUAG